rnacentral:misc_RNA from 1 species
AAUGCGCCGUGCUCUUUGGCUUUCUUCUGUGCGGCUCCCUUGAAAAGGGAAUAGGGCUGUUUCAGUGGCACGAGCGUGCGCGAGCGCAAUCGCUUCACAUGGCCAGCUCGCACUCAAAGCUUUCAAGCUGAAAAUUUGCCGUUUUACGUAUUUUUUUUUGUAUUAGGCCUUCAAGAUGGCUACAGAACUACAGCUUGUAGUGGAGGCCAACAGCGAGCUGUUGGCGCACGCAAAGGUGGCGAAUCCACGUGGAUGCUCCAUUCACGUCGACAAGCACAUUCAGAAGCCAGUCCUUAUCAUGAAAGGAACGCCUUCUCAAACCCGCGUGCAAGUUCCGCGCGAGGACCGCCCUCUCUCUUCGUUACGAUUACACAACUCUCUUUUGGCGGCUCAAAUCUGCCUCAACUCCACGGAUCAUUUCGCUGUUGAGAUAGUCGUGAGCCAGUAUACAGUGAAGCGGACAAAACUGAUAAUUGGCACCAAUGUUGCAGCUGCUCGAUACGACAAGACGGAUGAUGAGCUGACGACUGCCUAUCUUCCCCUUAUCAUUCCACGCAACAAGUGGGUACAGGUGGUGUUUCAUGUUGCUGGCAUCGUGCAUACUGUGUUCAAUCUCCCAUGUAUAACCUGCAUUGACGCAAUUACUCUCACUGGAACUGGAAAGAUAUCGUGUGUGUUCACGAGCAGUGACGAGCAGUCGUGCAUUGCCGCAACGCCGGAGGGCAUGGCCCUUUUUGCAGUUCCGGCGUAUGUUCCACCGAUCUGGAAGACGGCCGCCGCGACACCUGAGCAUCUGUCGUCUCUGCUAAAUAUCGACUCCAGGUCUGACAUACCCUUGACAAGCGACGUGUCCUUUGGCACGGCAGCUGCUCCCUGCGCUGAGUCACCGUCCUCGCCGGCUUCGCCUCUUUCGACGCACUCCGUAAUCCUGCCGCGGCUGAAGCUUCUGAAAGAGACAGCCGUGCCGCCGUCCUAUCCUCACGUUUCCUCGAGCGCCUCAGAACAGGUUGGGGCAGCUUUAGGAAAGGGGUCGUACAGCGCGCCUUCCCAAUGCGAUUAUAUUCGCCUCGUGGACAACGAGGACAUAGUGGCCAAAGAUGAGCAUAGCACCAUAUCAUGCUCGAACGGAGAUGGUCAUCGGCAGCAGGCCUCACAAGAUACCGUCGCGGGCAGGUCUUGCGGUGCAGCGCGAGGGGCAGCGAACAGCACUGCAUGUGGCCUCAGCGGCUGGGAGCAGUUUCCUGAGGAACGUGUCGGUACACUCGUCGUUGUUUCACCAGCACGCUUGGUUAAGGUAGACGCAGCCAAGCGGCCGCCACGAAAACCCAGAGUCGUUCCUGGUCCCCCAGGAUCAAGUGACAACGAAAGAUUGCAACGCAUCAUCGCGUCCCGCAAGCAUCGGGUGAUGCCGAGGCAGGGAUCCCUUAACAGCGGUGGCGACGAUGGGCGGAGCAACAUCUCGCGACGGCAGCAGCGUCUUCGACGUCGCAUGCGUGUCUUACGGGCAAAUGAGCAGAAGGCCAACAAGACAGCAGCAGCCAAGGCGCUCGUUGCAUCGGAGCUUCCACUAUCCCAGCGAGUUGCGGCUGUGGAGGAUUCAACAGAAGCAGCUCCGAUUUGCGGAUACGGUUUCGGAUAUCUCGGUGUGCUCAAGCCAAAUGGCGAGUACGAGGAGGACGAUGACGCUAACCUCAACUUGGAGGGCGCACUCACGUUGUUGACAGACAAUGAGUGAAAUCUUUCUGUGGGCGGUGGAGUGCAUGGGCACAUCCGAAAUGAUGCAAAGACAGACCACACGUUAUCAUUUCCAGAGUGUGAUGGCCUGUGUAGAAAUGGCGCGUUGCACCACACGGACACUAAGGGACUCUUCUUGUCUCCAUCCAUUGCUUACUGCUUUCCUUUCUUCUUUGUAUUUCCCUCUUUUCCUUUAACUCUACUUCUCAUCUUCUCUCUGUGGUUCGUUUCCCAUGUUUUGAUUAUUUUACUGCGUCUCUGUGUGCCUUUCCCGUUUAUAGAGCAUUUUUGCCUUCAUGGUGAAGCGUGCACACGCGCGCGCAGAAAGGCGCGCGAACAUACUGCACUUUUCCUUCCCGUGUCCUGUCAUCAGCUUUCCGCCUUUGAUCUUUUUAUUCGGCUCACUCCCAUGUUCAAGGAUGCUGUGUGAUGUAUCACUCCCGUGGGGAGACUGUAUCGAGACGAGACGAACAACGCGACCACCGCAUUUGGCAGAGAAAAGCAACCUACUGUAUGUGUGUGUGUCGCCGCUCCUGCGUUGUCUUCGAUACCCCCGCCUUUUUUUCUUCUCCGUUCACCCUCAUUCCGCCACUUGCUUGUGUGUUCUUCUCUUCGUAUGUGUGUGUCGCGUGCCUCUCUACCAACUCCCUCCCCUUCUUUUGCAUUGUAAAUUCUUCACAUACACACGCACGAGGAGACACGACGCACCCUCCCUCCACCUUUUACAGGCGGAGGGGACGGAAAAAACACAAUCAAAAACACGCAGACAAACCGAACAAUAACAAAAAAAAAACAACACAGGGAACAGUUGGCCCGCUCAGCUCGUGCAACGUGGCGCG